rnacentral:rRNA from 1 species
GAUUAUGGCUCAGGAUGAACGCUAGCUACAGGCUUAACACAUGCAAGUCGAGGGGCAGCAUAUCGAAAGCUUGCUUUGAUGAUGGCGACCGGCGCACGGGUGAGUAACGCGUAUCCAACCUUCCCUAUACUAGAGGAUAGCCCGGCGAAAGUCGGAUUAAUACUCUAUGUUGUAUUUAGAAGACAUCUGAAGAAUACCAAAGGUUUACCGGUAUAGGAUGGGGAUGCGUCUGGAUUAGGUCGUUGGCGGGGUAACGGCCCACCAAGCCCACGAUCAGUAGGGGUUCUGAGAGGAAGGUCCCCCACAUUGGAACUGAGACACGGUCCAAACUCCUACGGGAGGCAGCAGUGAGGAAUAUUGGUCAAUGGACGAGAGUCUGAACCAGCCAAGUAGCGUGCAGGAUGACGGCCCUAUGGGUUGUAAACUGCUUUUAUACAGGGAUAAAGUUCACUACGUGUAGUGUUUUGUAGGUACUGUAUGAAUAAGGACCGGCUAAUUCCGUGCCAGCAGCCGC